GGAUUUUGACAUUUUCGUUUGUUUCUCUGUUGCAAAGUUGGCUUCAUUUCACUCCAGUAACUCUCUAAAUAGGUCCAAGAACUCACUAAAUAGAAAUCCUCAACUGUUGGAUUCUGUUGAGAUGGGCAGAAUUUGAGUGGUGUCUUCAUCGUCGACCGACACCUGGACUGCAACAUCAUCUUCACUCACCCCAGCGUCAGCAAAUUCCACCUCCAAAUCCUCUCCGAUCCUUAUUCCGCAAAGCUCUCCCUCUGAUUUGUCAUCAGAGUUUUCCAACAAUUCCGGUCAGGUUGGCGUUGAUGUUGGUCUUAAACUAUUCCUCAGCACGUCAGGUGCCUUCUAUUUCAUGUAAGAUCUGCUUCAAAUUUUUUAUUUAAUAUAAUUGGGUUUUAGUUAUUUUUUCGUAGGUUUUCUAGGGUUUGUGUAAAUUCUCAUCUGAUCGAUGAUUUUUUUGUUAUCAUGGGCUGAAAAGUGUGUAAUAGGGUUAUGAGGUAGAAGACUGUUUGGGGAUGGUGGUGAGUUCUCUGAGUAUGACUGGGAUGUUGAGAAAUUGGAGCUCUUCUGGGGCCAUAUCCAUUUGGAUUUGCAGGGUCUGAUUGGAGGAAAAGAAACGAAAAAAAUUUUGGGUUUUGGAUUGAUGUGAUGUUUGAUUUUAUUUAAUUUUUGUUCCUGCAUGUUCGGGUUUUUUUUAUUUUUUAUUUUUUAUUUUUGCAUGUUUUAAUUUUUGAAUUAACACUAUUUGUUUUGUGAAUUGCCGGUUUAUAGUGUUUGCUUGAUAAAGACGGAGAAUAGUACUGUCCAAAUGAAUAGGAAGACCUCGAAAACUUGUUGAUGUGUUGCUUUCCUUAAUGUAUAAAGACGGAAAAAAGGGGCAAGUUGCGAAAAGGCCAAAAAAAAAAAAAAGAAAAAAAAAACAGAGAUUGGACAAGUGGAGAUGGCAAUUGUUGUGGUUCAUACAAUUCCUCCUUUUUAUUUAGAGCAAGUGGAGAUGGCUGUUUGAAUAAAAAGAAGAAUUUGGCCAGAGCGUUCGCCACGGGAGGUUAUGCAGCUGUGCAGAGUCACACAGUGGAACUUGGAUUACACAAAGCACAGCAAGCAGGUUGAUAGGUUUUGUUUUAAGGUUCUGAUUGGUAAAGCAAAAGCUCCUACCAAUUUAGCGGAGUGGACAAAAAAUUCGGGCCUUUUAUUAAUGACAUAUCAUAGGCCACUUUAAAGGUAAAUCCAGAUAUAUCGCUAUGCAAUUUAGUUUUUACUUUUAGCAUGUUCCGAGUGACCUUUGAAUUUA